rnacentral:rRNA from 1 species
CUGAAACCGUGUACGUACAAGCAGUGGGAGCACGCUUAGGCGUGUGACUGCGUACCUUUUGUAUAAUGGGUCAGCGACUUAUAUUCUGUAGCAAGGUUAACCGAAUAGGGGAGCCGAAGGGAAACCGAGUCUUAACUGGGCGUUAAGUUGCAGGGUAUAGACCCGAAACCCGGUGAUCUAGCCAUGGGCAGGUUGAAGGUUGGGUAACACUAACUGGAGGACCGAACCGACUAAUGUUGAAAAAUUAGCGGAUGACUUGUGGCUGGGGGUGAAAGGCCAAUCAAACCGGGAGAUAGCUGGUUCUCCCCGAAAGCUAUUUAGGUAGCGCCUCGUGAAUUCAUCUCCGGGGGUAGAGCACUGUUUCGGCAAGGGGGUCAUCCCGACUUACCAACCCGAUGCAAACUGCGAAUACCGGAGAAUGUUAUCACGGGAGACACACGGCGGGUGCUAACGUCCGUCGUGAAGAGGGAAACAACCCAGACCGCCAGCUAAGGUCCCAAAGUCAUGGUUAAGUGGGAAACGAUGUGGGAAGGCCCAGACAGCCAGGAUGUUGGCUUAGAAGCAGCCAUCAUUUAAAGAAAGCGUAAUAGCUCACUGGUCGAGUCGGCCUGCGCGGAAGAUGUAACGGGGCUAAACCAUGCACCGAAGCUGCGGCAGCGACGCUUAUG